UGUUGUUAACUUUUCUGCUAUCAAUGUGUUGAAGAAAAUUGUAGGCCUCAUUUGAGACGGUUGGAUUGUCUGAAGCCGAUGAAAGUCAUCCAUGUAAACCUCAGACUAGCUUUGAAAUCAAUUGUCCGAAAAAGAAAGAGAAAAUUAAUGGUCCAGAGGUAAUGCAAUGUUUUAUGAACUUCCUGAGAGGUCACUAGAUGAGACAGUUAAUGAUGGACUAAGAGCAUAUCUCAAAGGUGUAUCUUUCAAAUUGAUCUUAUUGACGGUAUUGCUACAGUCACAACAUCUAUCUCUGGUGAAUUGGGAGAAAAACUACUCUCCAUGACAGCGGAAGACAUAUUUGACAUAACUUGUGCUAAGAGGCAAUCAUUGCAUGUUAAUCAUGUCCAUGAGAUGUUGUCCAACAAACUAUUUCAAAUUCAGCUAAGGAAGUCAUCUUGGGGUACCUCAAACAACACACAAGAAACUUACUCCAUUAUUUCCUACAUGGAAAAGCAACAUACUCCGCCAACCACUAUUGAUAGGAAUUUCAAAAAGAUAAGACCUUUGGAGAUAAGUGAGAUGGAGGUGACAGAAACAACUACUGCAACUGGUUCUUCAAAUGCAACUCUGAAAUUUGAACCACCCACACCAACAAAAAAACUGUAAAAGGUUAGUCUACAUCUGAUUAUCACAUUUAUUAUUGAAAAUCAAACUAUAAAUCACAAUAAUUAACAGCUCAAAACUUACAAGUAUUUGAAAUUUAUUAAAAUUUAAAAUUUAUCCAUGCUGUUAGCGAAAACAUGAACGAAACAUUGAGGUGUCUUUCAUUCAUUUACAAUGCUUUCGGUUUUGCUUUAAUCAAAGGAUCACUACUUUUUGGCCUCCUCCAUUGCAGUCAUACAAAACAAAUUUAGAACCUCUUGAUUUCAUAUAGUGUGAGAGGCUUGCUAAAAAUGUUUGUACAAACAAGAAAGUCAUAAAAAUUUGAAGAAAAUCAGGGAUACCAUGCCUCUGUUUGCAUCUUUCGGACUAUCUGUUUAGAAAGAAAAGAGAGAUAUUUUUGAAACUCCAAAAAUUCAUGUCUUUUGUAAACAAUAGAUGCUUUCAGAAUUAAUGUUUUGAUGUAGGAGACAUGGAAGCUGAUAUUUCUCAAUAAUUACAGUUCAUUGAGU